UACGUAGGGUGCGAGCGUUAAUCGGAAUUACUGGGCGUAAAGCGUGCGUAGGCGGCUAUGUAAGACAGAUGUGAAAUCCCUGGGCUUAACCUAGGAACUGCAUUUGUGACUGCAUUGCUAGAGUGUGGUAGAGGGAGAUGGAAUUCCGCGUGUAGCAGUGAAAUGCGUAGAGAUGCGGAGGAACACCGAUGGCGAAGGCAGCCCCCUGGGCCAACACUGACGCUCAGGCACGAAAGCGUGGGGAGCAAACAGG
rnacentral:rRNA from 1 species